rnacentral:lncRNA from 1 species
UAUCUAUCUAUCUAUCUAUCUAUCUAUCUAUCUAUCACAUAUCAUCUUGAGGAACUUUUUUAUUAUACUUAUUUAUUCACUUACAGCCCAAUAUCCAUCCUUCUUCUGCUCCCAGUACCCCCUCUAGUUGCUCUGGAACUAGGAACAUCCUCUUCCACUAAGACCAGACAAAAUGGUAUAUUUUGGGGCCUGGAAUUUACAGGCAGGAAGGCAACAAGCUGAGGGGCAGCUGCUCCAAUUGAAGGCAAGCUGCUUAUCUGCUACAUAUAUACAGGGGGCCUACAUCCAGCCUGUGCUUUCUCUUUGGUUGGUAAUUAAAUUUCUGCAAACCCCCAAGGGUCCUCCUGUGGAGGACCUCUUGAUCUUCCUGUGGAGUCCCUGUGCUCUUUGGGUCCCUCAAUCUUUCCCAACACUUUCGUGAGACCCCCGAUUUCCAUGUAAUGCUUGGGUGUGAGUCUCUGCAUCUUUUUUCCAUUGGCUACAGGGUGGAGCCUCUGGGAGAACAGUUAUGCUAGGUUCCUGUCUGUAAGCAUAACAAAGUAUUAUUAAUAGUGUCAGGGAUUUAGUUCUUGCCAUGGGAUGGGUCUUAAUUUGGGCCAGUCAUUGGUUGGCCAUUCCUCAGGCUCUGCUCUAUCUUUGUCCCUGCACGUCUUGUAAACAGGACACAUCUUGGGUUGAAAGCUUUGUGGGUGGGUUACUGUCCUAUCCUUCCACUGGGAGUCCUACCUGACUAUAGGAAGUGACCAAUUCAGGAUCCAUAUAUCCCACUGCUAGGAAUCUCAGUGAGAGUUGCCCCCAUAGAUCCUCUAGAGCCUUUCCCUAUCUCAGGUCUCUGGCAUGUCUUAGGGAUUGACCCCCAUCUCCAUCCUCUCUCUCUUGUUCUCCCUACCUAUGAUCUAACCCCUGCCCACUCUGCUCCCCUUCCUAUCCUCUCUUCCACCCAGUUCUCUCCUUCCAUUGACCUCUGAUAUCUGUUUGUUCAUUUCUCCUUCUUAGAAAAAUUCAACCACACUCCCUUGGAGUCUAAUUAUUUAGUUUCUUUGGGUCUGUUGAUUAUAACAUUAUUAUCUUAUACUUUAUGGCUAAUAUACACUUGUAAGUAAGUACAUACCAUACAUGUCCUUUCGGGUCUAGGUUACCUCACUAUGGAUGAUAUUUUCUAGUUCCAUCCAUUUGUCCACAAGAUUCAUGAUGUCCUUCUUUUAAAUGGUUGGCUAGUAUUCCAUUGUGUAGACAUACCACAUUUUAUGUAUCCAUUCUUCAGUGGAGAAACAUCUAGGUUAUUUCCAUUUUCUGGCUAGAGCAUUUAUGAACAUAACUGAGCAAGUGUUUUUCUAGGAUGGUGGAACGUCAUUUGGGUAAAUGCCCAGGAAUGGUAUAGCUGAGUCUUGAGGUAAAACUAUUCUCAGUUAUCUGAGAAACUGUUAAAUUGAUUUCUCAAGAGAUUGUACAAGUUUGCAUUCACAUGACAUCAUGUUUAUUUUUCCAUGAGGAACAGUUUUAAGAGCAAUGAUUAUUGCUGGAAAUAUAAGACUCUCAUGAAGCUAACUAUAUCUAGAUAUAGUUCAUUAAAUCUUUGUUUUACUUUUAUUUACAACAGAAAUAUUUUAAUAAUAGUUAAAAAUCAAAACACUGAUCUCUCCAAAUUCUGGGACAUUUAAAACUGGUUUUCAAGAGAGAAAAAAAUGCACAUGGAGAAGUGGUAAUCUAAUCAACUCCUUAUAUUAUACAAAUGACUUUCAUUGCCCAACCAACUGUGUGUGUUUCUGGACCCAUUUGUUUAAUCCCACCCCAACCCCCAGCCCCCUUUUAUAAAUGUUUGCUCUUCAUUUUUCUUUGGUGCUCAUUAUCCUCAUGUACUAUGCUGAUGAUUUAACCAGCUGUGUCCUUUUAUAGAAGACAGCUUCCUUCAAGUGUUUGUCUGAGAUUCACAAGCCCCUGACCUUCAGUUAAAGUAUGUUGUGUGAUUUAGUAGGGGAAAGACCAAGAUAGACCUCCUCUGGAUGACCAAUAGAGGAAGUAGAAUAAAUCUUUGCUAAAGAGUUGGCUUCAUCAUCUUAUACAUUCUGCAGUCUUUCAGGUUUCCUCUGAUAAUCUCCCUACUACUUAUCAUUAUAUAAGGGUUUAUUUAUUAGUUAUGUUCUUAAGACAGAAAAAGUACUUUAUCUAUUUUGGAGCUGGACAAACUUAUCUAGUCAUGUUCUUAAUCUAGAUUUUGUCUAAACUCCUUGACAUUAUCUUGAGUAAUGGCAAGUAGUGAGGUCAGAAUGAAAGGUUUAAGGGAAGGAGUCAUUGCCUCAACAUAGGAAGGGAUAGUAUUAACUAUCUAUAUAUAUUCACAGAUUUAACUAGUGUUUAAAAACAGAGAGAUUGUGCAGAAUAGCAUUUUAAAUAUCUAUGUAUUAUUUUUAAAUAUUUUAUUAAUUAUUUGUAUACACUGUAUUUUAUUUCCCCUGAUCCACCUUCCCCCUGAUCUACCACACCCCAUUCCUCUUCCCUGCCUACCUGUCAUCACAUGGAUGGCCCCACCCCCUACUCCACCUGACCUCUAAACUCCCUGGGGUCUCCAGUCCCUGACCCAGCAGUCCUCUACUGUAUGUGUGUUGGGGGCCUCAUAUCAGCUGGUAUAUGCUGUCUGUUUGGUAGUCUAUUGUUUGAGAGAUCUCGAGGGUCCAGAUUAAUUGAGAUUAAUUAAUUGGCCUACAGGAUUGCCCUUCUCCUCAGGUUCUGUCACCCUUUCCUAAUUCUACAACAGGGGUCAGCUACUUCUGUCCAGUGGUUGGAACAUACAAAGGGAUACUAUGAACUCUAGUCACACAUUAGUGUUUAAAAACAGAGAGAUCGUGCAGAAUUACAUUUUAAACAUCUAUGUAUUAUUUUUAAAACAAAAUUUGAGUAACUAGAUGUUGUUUUGUUGAAAAGACCUUUUACAUUUUAUGAAAGCAUUUAAAACACCCAGAGAACUUAAGCUUUAUGUAUAAAAUAAGGCUGUUACUCUUUAAUGUCUACUCCUUGAAGAACAAAAUGUCAUUGAUUUUAAUGGCACAAGUAUCCCUUGUUUUUCUGAGAGUUAGUCUCCUGAGCCAAACUCUGCUGCUGAAUUUCUUUCUCUAGAGGUGAAGUAAAGAAAUGUCUUCUCUGUUCAAUGUAAGAUGCUUACUCACAUAGUCAGAUAACACAACUUUGAGAACAUUUCCUUGACCUUAUACAUCAGAGUCAGCUUUCUCUGCCAACUUUG